AAUUUCUCAUUCAGUUUGAAUUAGAUAAACCUUACUCGAUUUUCAACAUAUUCCCUGAAAUUGAGGAGAUCCUAAUUGCUGGCAGCCUUUGUUUUACAACUAGAUCCCCCUGUCAAUGUCAUUCAACUGCCAAAAGAUCCUUGGUACAUCUCUAUCGCGGCACCACUGAAGCGCGACUCGAAGUCCACCCGAUUCCCGAAAGAAUUGUUGGAUAUUCUCUACCCUUAAAAAUGGGGAUGAAGUUUGUUGAUGAUAAAAAUUCGUCAUUGUUAAUCAUAAUUCACGAUUUUUGGAAAUUCCACCCCCUUGCCGAUUUUCAAAAUUCCGCUAGAGCGUAGCCGUGGCGGUAUCCACACCAGCCAUCCAGGCUCGCUCCUGAAGCUUAUUAGACUGCCGAGGUUGCCGAGGGCUUCAUGGAGUGAGGUUAGAACCUCAAAACUUUUUAAGUGGUCCCCGCUUUAUACUAAUGUUACCCGUUUCUAUUGUACCUUUAUUUACAAUUUCUUACGUAUAGGCAUAAAAAGAAAAAAUGUUUUAUCAUACAAAUUUAAUCCAUUUGCUAAUAAUAUUAAUAAUAUAAAUAUAUUAUACAAAUGCGUAUUGUCUUGUAAACUAAAAUAUCGCAUUGAAGCCACAACAUAAAUGAGUUAUACUAUUAUAUUUUAUACUAGAGCAAUGGUACCUACCUAUCACGAAUUUAUCGGAAUGUCUAGCUGUAUCAUUAAAAAACACAAAGCGUAAUAUAGGUUUGUAAACAAACUAUUAAUAUGGUAACAGCUUUCAGUAUCAAAGAACUACCCAUACAUUUUUUACACUAACGUUAGCGACACAUCGAGAUGGCAAUGGGGGUGGGGACGCCCUGAUUGUCAUGUCGACCUAUCGCGAAGAAUAUUACAUUACUGAACGAGACCAGAAAGUUAGCGUUUUCUGGUCGAGUGUGAGUUAGACGGCCGAGCCUUGGCGAGGACGUCUAUAACAUGAGAUCAGAAAGGCAUUCCCGGUCGAGGCAUGUAUAGUGCUUUUCUAAAAAAAAUGAAACUAAUAGG